AAAAAAUGAUUUUCUUCUGUUGGCUUGGCAUGAUGAGAAACGGCUUCUGUGAGGGCGAGGUUCAAAAACAAGACCUUUGUGAGCAAUGGGAAGGGACUGCCUCUUUGACUGCAUUUAUUACGGAAGCUGAACGGACAGCUCCCAGCUGAAAAGGCAACUUCACCAUCGACGGUUCUCGCCAGGUUAAAUGUCAGUAGAUGAAGGCCUCAUCAUCACUCAUACUUGGCUUUUCUCCUUUUCUGCUGCUUCUUCUCCCUAAUUGGAAAUCUUUGGACUAAGAAUCUGUAAAACAAGUCUUUCAAACUGCCUUCAAGUAUCUCCUCUGUGUCACUUGGUAACAAAGGUCGAAGAUAACAGAUGGAGUCCUCAGUGUAACUUGAUAAAUGUUUCCCUUCCUCAGCCUUUUGUCUGAUUGGACAUCUGGAAGGAGGCAGUUGUUGGCUUUGUUACAGUGGUUCAAGAAUGUCAGAAUUGCAGUCACUACAAUUCUCCUGGCUUUUCUCUCAUGGUCCCCAAAUGACUGCUGGAGUUUCAGCCAUCAUAUCAGUGAUCAAGGCAGCUGGAUCCAGGCAGUAAUCCAGACACUUGGAAGUCCCACCCAAGGACUUCUGCUCUUAUCUCAUUGGUCAUCUUUGUCUGAAAGGAAAGCUGUGAAAUACAGUAUUAUUAAUAAGCACGUUGCUGGCUCCAAUAAUAUAGAGUCUUGUUAACAACAAAGAAGAGGAGAAUGGAGAUUGAGCAACCAGGAAGCAGUCUCAGCCACACCAUCAUAUGGAGAAGUGCCUGUUUCCCAUUCUGCCCGAUUUUAAGUUUCCUGAGGCACCCCCAGCCAUGCAGAACUCUCUGGUGCCUGGCCCACAGGAAGUUUUCACUAAAUAUUGAAAUAAACUGAACUUAGAUUAAACUUUGGUGUCUAACUUAGGAAAAACAACAAGAGUUCUACAAAACUAUUUCUUCACAGGCUGUUGUAGCAGGGAGACCCUCAAGGGCGUCUACAAUAUCACCACAACUCUCAUAGAGCUGCCUGUGAAGGAUGACAAGAAGGAAGUAGGCUGAGACCCAAGUUCUGGGUCAGGGGACUAAUGCUGUUGUCACCAAGAAGGGAAAGUCUGAAGCCAGGCCUGCUUAGCAGAGGUCUCCGUAUAGUAGGGAUCUCACUCUUUCAAGAUGUAGGAUCUCAACUGGUUAGCCAGCCCUCUGAGUGAAGCUGGUCAGUUGGGGCUGUGACAACAUAGCACACUCAAAGGGGCAGACCCUUCUCAGCUCCAACAGAUUGGUGUCAUUGGAAAAGGUGGACCCAGUGUAGGCAGACUUUCCUAGAGAGUCCAGAAGUGACUGUGCAAGCCCAAAGCAAUCCAAACAAAUAUUUGUGGACCACCAAGAACCUCUGGUAUGAAGUAAAUAAUAAAGGCAUUGAACAAUAAUAACCUGUCUGUAUAUCCACCAAUGGGACCGAUGGGCCACAGUGUGACAUCUAUCCUAUUCAUGUCAUAAGGGAGAUGAAUUCUACUGUGGGACAGUCUGUGUGACUGCUCGUAGGAGAUUAUCCAAUUCCUUUUGCUCUAAUUUCAUGGUCACCAAAUUUCUGCUUGCUAACUUUGUUUUACAACAAACUUUAGAAAGGAGGUGAUCUGAAUAAGAGGAUAUAUGUUUUUCAGUCUCUGGAAAGGGGUAUUUCUUUGUAUUGAGAAGCCAGAACUCUUGAGUGUGUUGAGCCUUGUAGAGAUUGAACCACUCUGGGUCAGCUGACAAAAUAAGAUUCUGGUGCUGAAAAGCUGAGUAUGUGACCAUGAUAUUAACAGUGACCUAAGUUUGUGUGGCCCCCUUCGUUCUCCAGAAACCAACCAGUCAGCCUUCAUUUUGUAAAUGUAGCAGACACCAUUUUGCUAGUGAAUGAGGUUAAAUCUUUAGCCUUGUCAUUGGUUCGGCUUUGUAAUUUAAAACUCUCUUAUUUUACCCUCUGAUUUUAAAUCCCCAGAUUUUCCUUUCUGUGUCCUUUGCCCCCUGAAGUUUCCAUCUGUCUAGCAACUAAGCACUGUUUGGGUAUCUACUGUCUUCCCCAAGUUGCCUUUACUUUUCUUCUUUACCUUUCUCUUGUUUUAUUUAUUUCUUUCUUUUUUUGAAAUGGAGUCUUGCUCUGUCACCCAGGCGGGAAUGCAGUGGCGCAAUCUCGGCUCAUUGCAACCUCCACCUCCCGGGUUCAAGCAGUUCUCCUGCCUCAGCCUAAUGAGUAGCUGGAAUUACAGGUGUGCACCCCCAUACCUGACUAAGUUUUGUAUUUUCAGUAGAGACGGGGUUUCACCAUGUUGGCCGGGCUGGACUUGAACUCCUAACCUCAGGUGAUCCGCCCUCCUUGGCCUCCCAAAGUGCUGGGAUUACAGGCAUGAGCCACCACACACAGCCUCUCUUGUUUUACUUCUGUCAUUACUUUUUGUUCUUUUAAUUUGGAAACCCACCUGCUUCCUCAGUGUCAUUAUUAAAAACCCACAUGUUACAGGUUCAUUAGGACUGAAACAUUCCUUCAGAGCUGAGCUGACCAACAUGUUAGCCACUAGCCACAUGUGACUAUUGCAUACAUGAAAUGCAAAAUGUGGCUGGUCUGAAAUGAUGGUAUAGGUAUGAAAUUCACACAAGAUUUAGAAUACUGAAGAUAAAAAAGAAUGUAAAGUAUCUCAUUAAUACUUUUUUUGGUAUUGAUCACCUAUUGAAAUGGUAAUAUUUGGUUAUACUGGCUUAAGCAAAUGUACAUUAAAAUUAAUUUCAUCUAUUUCUUUUUACUUCUUUAAUACCAGAAAAUGUAAAAGUACCUAUCUGGCAAGCAAUAUAAAACUAUUGGUCAGUGCUACUUGAGAGUCUUAAUGUCUGUAUUUUUUAUAUCUCUGUAAGCAUAAAUGCUGUAUUAAAAACCCAAUUUGAAUAAACACCCCCAAAUUACUCUUCC
rnacentral:lncRNA from 10 species